CUUCAAUUCCCAGCUCUCACAGCCAACCAUUGCUUAACUUAUUUAAGCACCAAGAUCAAGCCUGGGCUGGUUUUAGACUAACAUUCAGAUCCUCCGUCUGUCCACUUCUUCUUUCCUCACAAUACUCUACUUUUCAUUGUAACAAUACAACUUUAUGUGGCAUCAUCAUGUUAUUUAUGCUAAAGGCUGAAUUUCAUAAAAAAGUUAUAAAACAACGAGACUGUCAAUGUACAUAGACACACAAUACUUAU